CAGAUAGUAAACUACGUGGUCAGCUCUGUAAGAAGACCCCCCCUGGUCAGGCUUGGUACAAAGGAGAUGCGAUGUACAUUAUCAUUGUGGUAAUCUUUAUGUGCUUACUGAUUAUUGUUGUCCUUGUAAUCAGCAUGCAUCACUACAGAAAAUACAAGAGCGGCAGCAUUGAAUCACUCCGAUACCGUGACGGGACCCCUUACUCCCACACCCAACUAAAACCCAUCACCGCCUCCGUGACCCACCCCAUCCCAGACCCUUCACGUGUCAACCAUCCCCACAUGACGUCAUCACUCCACCACAUGACGUCAUCAGAACCUCCUCCUUAUAUCCCGCGGGACCCCAAUAAUAGAACUGUCAUUAGGAGCUCUGAUUUACAACCUGGAACUAUUCACAAGAAGUCAGUAUCGGCG